GAUGAAGAACGUAGCGAAAUGCGAUAAGUAAUGUGAAUUGCAGAAUUCAGUGAAUCAUCGAAUCUUUGAACGCACAUUGCGCCCGCUAGUAUUCUGGCGGGCAUGUCUGUCCGAGCGUCAUUUCAACCCUCAAGCCCCCAGGCUUGGUGUUGGGGAUCGGCGAGCCUCCGCGCCCGCCGUCCCCUAAAUCUAGUGGCGGUCUCGCUGUAGCUUCCUCUGCGUAGUAGCACACCUCGCACUGGGAAACAGCGCGGCCACGCCGUUAAACCCCCAACUUCUGAACGUUUGACCUCGGAUCAGGUAGGAAUACCCGCUGAACUUAAGCAUAUCAAUAAGCGGAGGA
rnacentral:misc_RNA from 1 species